rnacentral:ncRNA from 19 species
CAGAGCGAUAUGGGGUGCCUUGAGACGCCCGCGACCCGCUGACCCGCCCAACACCCGCCCAACGAAGGGCAUACGGCACAGGGGGCGCACGAAACGGCGUAAGAAAACUCAAGGCUGAGAGAAUCACCCAUUGAACCUGCUCUAGUUCGAACUAGCGAAGGGAUUAUCGAUCAUGGCAGAG